GACCGAGUAGCUCAGUUGGCAGAGGCCAGAGCAUUGGACAGUAUUCCAAAGGUCGUAGGUUCGAUCCCCACCGUGGUCA